UACAGGGGGUGCAAACGUUGCUCGGAAUCAUUGGGCGUAAAGCGCACGUAGGCGGUUCGUUAUGGCGGAUGUGAAAGCCCUUGGCUUAACCGAGGAAGUGCAUCCGAAACUGGCGAGCUAGAGUACUAAAGAGGAUCGCGGAAUUCCCGGUGUAGAGGUGAAAUUCGUAGAUAUCGGGAGGAACACCUGUGGCGAAGGCGGUUCUCUGGGCCUGUACUGACGCUGAGGAGCGAAAGCGUGGGGAGCGAACAGG
rnacentral:rRNA from 1 species